AUGAUGUCCGGCUUCGACCUGCAAGGACGGUGGAUGCCUUCCUCCCUUACGGAAGAAGACAUGCUAAAGCUAAGAGAUGCCAGGUAUUUAACCGGCGAAAUUUCGCAUAGGCUGCCUGCCCAAGGGCAGGUUAUUCCCACUCCCAAGCCUGGUGAAAGCGUGGUGUUCGCGUCUCACUUCCUUCGGGGGCUAAGCUUCCCGACGGACCCCUUCAUGAGGGGGCUCAUGUUUUACUAUGGGUUGGAAUUUCACGACUUGGAUCCGGAGUCCAUCCUCCACAUCUCAUCGUUCAUCGUCGUGUGCGAAGCCUUCCUCCGCAUUACCCCUCACUUCGGAUUGUGGCUCAAGACCUUCAAAGUGGAGCCGAAGAUGAUCAAGUGGCGACAAGCAGAGUGCGUAGGGGCUGUUAUAAGCAAGAAUGCUGAUGCUCAGUGGCCCGAGGGAUCUUUUCAAGAGGAGCUCAGUUUAUGGCAACAAGAGUGGUUUUAUAUCACAGUUCCCAGGGGCACCAAAUGGGCGGUGCCACCUGCCUUUCGCUCGGGUCCUCCACCGCGGCUGGCGUCCUGUGUCAAUAAAGGGCUUGACUGGGGGCCGUCCAAGGACGUGCCCUUGCUGCAGGGCCGCAUUCGAGACCUCCUAGAGAGAGAGAUCACUUUGGUCGUAGUAGUGCAGGUCAUGCUGAUUCGUCGCAUCCUGCCCUGCAGACAUCGCCCCCUCCGCCUGUGGGAAUUUAACCCGGAGGGACCACGAGCUCUCCAACAUUUUAUGGGCGCGAUGCCCAUGGAGAUGUACAAGCUUUUCUUAGGAUCACAAGAGAUGUGUCCGGACUUGACCGAGGACACAGGUCUGAGCCGCAAUCGCCCCGAUACUCAAGAGUGGAUAGCGAAAGCAAAGUUAAUCAGGUGUUCGGCCCCCCUCCCUGAGAUCACGCCGGAUCCCGUGUUAACCAGAAUGCUGGAAGUUGCACCUUCGGAAGAAGGUGAAGGGGGGAACAAGGAAGCCACCGCCUCCGCGAAGGAGGCUGUGAGGAAAGGAGGGAUCGAGAAUACCUCCAUCCAAGGGAAGAAGAUGACCGCCUCUGAAGACCCGGAGAUCAUGGUCUCAAAGCGGGAGAAGAAAUCUUCAUGA
rnacentral:rRNA from 1 species